AUAAGAUUGUAGUAUCGCAUGAUAUAGCAAUUAAAGGAGCAAUUCGCUAUAAGAUGGACCCGCCGUCGCAUUAGCUAGUUGGUGAGGGUAAUGGCUCACCAAGGCGACGAUGCGUAGCCGACCUGAGAGGGUGAUCGGCCACAUUGGGACUGAGACACGGCCCAGACUCCUACGGGAGGCAGCAUG
rnacentral:rRNA from 1 species